CUGCAACGUUCAAGGCAGAGGUGAGGGUAGUAUUAUAUGUGGAGAUGGCCAGUGAGGGACAGGAGAGGGAAGGGAUGGAUAGCAAUUGUGAAUCAACAUCAGCUGACAGCUGCUGGAGGUCAAUACAAUUAAGGUUCCUCCUGAGUUGAGGGUGGUUAGGCUGAGGUUGUUGAGUGAGGGGGUACUUGAGAGCAAACGAUAAGAG